GGGGUUGUAUCUCAGUGGUAGAGUGCUUACCUAGCAUGUGUGAGACACUGGGUUCAAUCCUCAGCACCACA
rnacentral:tRNA from 1 species